CUUCAACCCCCACUCCCAUUUCUUUUCUCCCACUCAUACAAGCACAGCACUGCUGCAGGGCUUCUGUACUUGCUCUUCUCUAUUAUGGAAAUGCUCUGGACUUAGAUCUUCUCAUAGCCGGCUCAUUCACUUCAUUCAGGCCUUUACUAGCAUUCAGGCCUUUACUAACCCUCCCUGGCUACUCUGUAUAAGAUUUCAAUCCCACUCCCUGAUAUAUCCUCUUCCUCUUUCCAGCAUUUUUCUCUUUUAUACUUAUCCCUAUCUG
rnacentral:lncRNA from 1 species